CUGAUUCACGCCUUUCAUGAUAGUCUCAAGUCGCCAUUUAACUGCCAUUACAUUUACUUGCCCCUUAGAAUCACAAGCACCCACAAAGUCGCUUUCGUCUUUGACCUUUGACAAAAGGGAUCUUAUCGUUAAGAACAUUACCAUUGGUCAAGUCAUUGGAUCUCAUUAUUAUCAUUAUUGGACAUUAAUUUACACAAUUGACCAACUAAUAACUACCUUCCAUUGAACAAUAAAGAUUUACCAUUGAAAUGAGACCAGGUAAACAAUUACAAUUCACCCAAAGGCAUUUAAAUAAAGACACAGAUUAUUUUCACAGGUAAAUUACAAUUCAAUUUGUG